rnacentral:rRNA from 1 species
GACGAACGCUGGCGGCGUGCUUAACACAUGCAAGUCGAACGGAAAGGCCCUGCUUUUGUGGGGUGCUCGAGUGGCGAACGGGUGAGUAACACGUGAGUAACCUGCCCUUGACUUUGGGAUAACUUCAGGAAACUGGGGCUAAUACCGGAUAGGAGCUCCUGCUGCAUGGUGGGGGUUGGAAAGUUUCGGCGGUUGGGGAUGGACUCGCGGCUUAUCAGCUUGUUGGUGGGGUAGUGGCUUACCAAGGCUUUGACGGGUAGCCGGCCUGAGAGGGUGACCGGCCACAUUGGGACUGAGAUACGGCCCAGACUCCUACGGGAGGCAGCAGUGGGGAAUAUUGCACAAUGGGCGGAAGCCUGAUGCAGCAACGCCGCGUGCGGGAUGACGGCCUUCGGGUUGUAAACCGCUUUCGCCUGUGACGAAGCGUGAGUGACGGUAAUGGGCAAAGAAGCACCGGCUAACUACGUGCCAGCAGCCGCGGUGAUACGUAGGGUGCGAGCGUUGUCCGGAUUUAUUGGGCGUAAGGGGCUCGUAGGUGGUUGAUCGCGUCGGAAGUGUAAUCUUGGGGCUUAACCCUGAGCGUGCUUUCGAUACGGGUUGACUUGAGGAAGGUAGGGGAGAAUGGAAUUCCUGGUGGGAGCGGUGGAAUGCGCAGAUAUCAGGAGGAACACCAGUGGCGAAGGCGGUUCUCUGGGCCUUUCCUGACGCUGAGGAGCGAAAGCGUGGGGAGCGAACAGGCUUAGAUACCCUGGUAGUCCACGCUGUAAACGGUGGGUACUAGGUGUGGGGUCCAUUCCACGGGUUCCGUGCCGUAGCUAACGCUUUAAGUACCCCGCCUGGGGAGUACGGCCGCAAGGCUAAAACUCAAAGGAAUUGACGGGGCCCCGCACAAGCGGCGGAGCAUGCGGAUUAAUUCGAUGCAACGCGUAGAACCUUACCUGGGUUUGACAUGGAUCGGGAGUGCUCAGAGAUGGGUGUGCCUCUUUUGGGGUCGGUUCACAGGUGGUGCAUGCCUGUCGUCAGCUCGUGUCGUGAGAUGUUGGGUUAAGUCCCGCAACGAGCGCAACCCUUGUUCACUGUUGCCAGCACGUUAUGGUGGGGACUCAGUGGAGACCGCCGGGGUCAACUCGGAGGAAGGUGGGGAUGACGUCAAGUCAUCAUGCCCCUUAUGUCCAGGGCUUCACGCAUGCUACAAUGGCUGGUACAGAGAGUGGCGAGCCUGUGAGGGUGAGCGAAUCUCGGAAAGCCGGCCUCAGUUCGGAUUGGGGUCUGCAACUCGACCUCAUGAAGUCGGAGUCGCUAGUAAUCGCAGAUCAGCAACGCUGCGGUGAAUACGUUCCCGGG